rnacentral:rRNA from 1 species
AAUGAACGCUGGCGGCGCGCCUAAUACAUGCAAGUCGAGCGAGAAGACGUAGCAAUACGUUUGUAAAGCGGCGAACGGGUGAGGAAUACAUGGGUAACCUACCCUCGAGUGGGGAAGUAACUAGCCGAAGGGUUAGCUAAUACCGCGUACGCUCCUUGGACUUCGGUUCAGGGAGGGAAAGCGAUACCGUGGGUAUCGCGCUCUUGGUUGGGCUCAUGUCCUAUCAGCUUGUUGGUGAGGUAACGGCUCACCAAGGCUUCGACGGGUAGGCUGGUCUGAGAGGACGAUCAGCCACACUGGCACUGCGACACGGGCCAGACUCCUACGGGAGGCAGCAGUAAGGAAUAUUGCGCAAUGGGCGAAAGCCUGACGCAGCGACGCCGCG